AAAUAAAAAAGGCUUUAUCAACACUUAUGACAAUGAGCAAAUUUGCAAGGGAUAACAUUUUGGUGCUGAAAGUAAAUGCAAAUAAGUGCUCACUUCUCCAGGGGAGCUUUGAGGUUUGCCCACAUGAGGAGCCGUGGCUAAUUGUGAUGUGGCUUAGCAGGGAAAACACAUCCUUGGAUUGUGUGGCUGGGGAUGGCAGCUGCUCCCCCAGCUGGGGAGCACACCAGGUCACAGAUGAUGAGAGCAGCCGAUGUUUCAGCAUCACAGGCACUUUGUAGGAGCAGCAGGACUGUCCUUUGUGCUGCCACGCUGCCCUGGGGGCUGGGGAUGGGCCUGACCCACAGAAUGGUGUUCCUCCCUCCCUCCAUCCCUCCCUCUGGCCAUUCUGCUCAUCCCUCCUUCCUCCCUGCCCUUGUGCACUCUGCUCAUCCCUCCUUUUGUCCAUCCUUCCUUCCUCCCUUUGUGCACUCCGUACAUCCCUCCUUCCUCCUUUCCUCUGUCCACUCUGCUCAUCCCUCCUUCCCUUCUGUCCAUCCUUCCUCCCUCCCUCUGUCCACUCUGCUUAUCCCUCAUUCCUCCCUGUCCUUGUCCAUUCUGCUCAUCCCUCCUUCUUCCUUGCCCUUGUGCACUCUGCUCAUCCCUCCCUUUGUCCAUCCUUCCUCCUUCCCUCUGUCCACUCUGCUCAUUCCUCCCUGUCCUUGUGCACUCUGCUCAUCCCUCCUUCCCUCUGCCCACUCUGCUCAUCCCUCCUUCCCCUUAUCCACUCUGCUCAUCCCUCCUUCCCUUUUGUCCAUCCUUCCUCCCUCCCUUUGUCCAUUCUGCUCAUCCCUCCUUCCCUUUGUCCACUCUGCUCAUCCAUCCUUUCCUUUGUCCAUCCUUCCUCCUCUCCCCUGUCCACUCUGUUCCCCCCACUCUGUUCUCCCCAGAUCCCAAGAUCCCAGCCCAUUGUAUCCAGCUGACCACAGCUGCUUUUCUGGGGUGUUUUUUCCACUGGAGUAGAAAUAAAGGUGGAUUUCUCCUCCAUCCACAUCAUUUGAUGGCAAACCACUCCAGACCUGAGAGCCUGCUCUGAACAACGACUUUCUGUUCUUUUUGAUUUUCAGCGGGGACCAAAAUAUUUCCCUUGAUCCUUCCUGCAUCAGGCUUGAUGUGGUUCAAGCUGUAUUUGCCAUAUAAAAAUCAAUUUCACUGCAUAAAUGAGCAGUUAUUUAAAUUAAAACUUACCAUUCUCACCAGUCUUACUUACCCUGAGUAUUUGUCAGUAUUCUGGCGCCUGCAAACCCUUUUUUCUCUCGUAAACUGUAAUGAAAUUUGCAUUUUUUCAAAGCUAUGCUGCUUUCAAAUGAAACCUACUUCUGGCACGAGCUUUAAACUGCUUUAAUAAAACCACCAGCUAAAAAACAAGAGUAAAAGCAAUAAAACAGCCCAAAAGGGAAAAAAAAAAUCUGCAACUUGUUACAACUCCUGGUUUUACACACAAAUUACAACAGCCUGGAGAUCCAGCAUGGAUAUUUUUGUUAGGAUGAAAGCUUCCUUUUGGGAUUGCCUUAUCUGUAGCCUUUGCUGUUUCAUGAGCACCUGGGUGAAGUGAAACUCUACAGGCUCAUGAAGAGAAAGGGUCAUUAAAUGUUGAUGACCUUCUCCUACCUGGAAGAAUCCUGGGCUGGGAUUGAGCCAGAGGAACUGGUCUGGCCAGCUGGGCUGAGAUCUGGUGACAGAGUCACUGCUGGUGAGCCUGAGCAGCCAAAGGGAACCUGGAGCUCCAAACUCUCCUUUAAAGCACACAAUCCAUCCCAGGAGGGUUGGAAUGGGCACAGCUCCUUGGGACACAGCAUUCCCUGAGGGUUUGUGGGAUGAGGGACAGAAAUGUGGCCACAUGAGGAAUGGGGGUGAAGAAUCUGUGUGGGGCACAGAGCAGGGGGUGGUGACUUCACUCAAACAUCAAGAAUUUACCAAAUAUUGCAGUGAAAAAUUGGAGCAAGAAGCGUGUGCCUUUGUGUGCAUAAUUAGAGCAGCUGCUGCCCUUAAAUUAGGUUUGGGAAAUCUCCUUGCAAGGGCAGAGAUUCAAAGCAGGAGGAGCACACGAGCAUUUUGUUCCUUUUCCCAGAUCUAUCACUGUUUCUGACAGCAAGACCUGAACCUUGAGAUGUAAGAAAGAUCAGUGCCAGGUAAUUCUGGAUUGUCUUUCCUAGAAUGGUUUGGGGUGGAAGGGACCUUAAAGCUCAACCCAUCCCAUGGGCAGGGACAUCUCUCACUAGAGCAGGAUGCUCCCAACCCUGUCCAGCCUGGCUUUGGACACUUGCAGGGAUGGAUCCCCAAACCUGGCUGAGCUCACAGCACGAUCCCGCUCAUUUCUGAGCAGAUCAACACGUCCCAAAGCUCCUGGGGCUGGGGGAAAGGUGGAAUUUCACUUGAGUGCAGCCAAUGCUAUGUGCUGAGGAAGACACAAAACCCCAGAUGAAGAAGGACAGAGCUGAAAAGCCCUGAAAAGAAGAAGAAAAAAAAUUCAGAAGUGCCAGAUCCAGCGCAUGGGAAUUCUGCCAUGAGCAUGGGACAUCCCCACAGUGCCAAAACUGCUGCAGGAAACUGCAGCCACCAGCAAAAACCAGACAGCAGCAAAACACAGCAAGCACGUGCCAAGAGAUUGUUUCAAAAGUGAAACUGCCAGGAGCCAAAUCCCAGUUUUAAGGCACAAUUUACACCGUAAAUAUUUGGGUUUCUAGCAAAAAGGGAGGGAGGAGAAAUCCUACCCUGCUCCAAAAGACAUGACAUUGGAGGCAGAGCAAUCUGCUGCUUUAAUUAACCCACAUGACAGAGGACAUGAAUUCUUUUUUUUUUUCUCUCACGCUGUUAAACACAAAAAUAUCCAAACUCCUGAGCUGUGGAACAGAAAUGAUUAAAAUCCCACUGCUCCAAGAUUGUUUCCUCCCCAUCCACAGCAACUCCCAACACAUGGAAGAGUCUUGAGUUCCUCAAGUUCACCAGGAAAACUUCAAUGACUUUCAUCAUCUGAAAGCAGCUCAUCAUCAAAACUGAUUUCAUUAAACCAGUGGCAAUCUGUUGGCAGCUUGAGAACCCAGACAGGGAAACACCGAUUAAAACAAAGCUGGCAAAACACAUUAAAAAUUAAUGGACUUCUUGAUUUUUAUCAAAACUGAAAAAAGGCUCAAUUCUACAGCCAAUGAUACAGCCCUGAAUGGCAGCAAUUAAAGUUCCUCCUUCCAAUUACAGCUUUU
rnacentral:lncRNA from 12 species